rnacentral:precursor_RNA from 15 species
UUGAUCCAAUUGACAUCCAAGGUCUCAUCCAGGUCUGAUAGUCUACCUUUCUGUGAUGUAAAACUCAGAAAGUAGUUUAUCAGAUCUGGAAGGGUCCUUUGGCUAUCAACUGUCAUCAG